rnacentral:rRNA from 1 species
AAUAGAUACCCGGGUAGUCCACGCCGUAAACGUUGGGCGCUAGAUGUGGGGACCAUUCCACGGUUUCCGUGUCGCAGCUAACGCAUUAAGCGCCCCGCCUGGGGAGUACGGCCGCAAGGCUAAAACUCAAAGGAAUUGACGGGGGCCCGCACAAGCGGCGGAGCAUGCGGAUUAAUUCGAUGCAACGCGAAGAACCUUACCAAGGCUUGACAUAUACGAGAAUGGGCCAGAAAUGGUCAGCUCUUUGGACACUCGUAUACAGGUGGUGCAUGGUUGUCGUCAGCUCGUGUCGUGAGAUGUUGGGUUAAGUCCCGCAACGAGCGCAACCCUCGUUCUAUGUUGCCAGCACGUAAUGGUGGGAACUCAUAGGAGACUGCCGGGGUCAACUCGGAGGAAGGUGGGGAUGACGUCAAAUCAUCAUGCCCCUUAUGUCUUGGGCUUCACGCAUGCUACAAUGGCCGGUACAAAGGGCUGCAAUACCGCAAGGUGGAGCGAAUCCCAAAAAGCCGGUCUCAGUUCGGA